rnacentral:rRNA from 1 species
AACGAACGCUGGCGGCAUGCCUAACACAUGCAAGUCGAACGAGACCUUCGGGUCUAGUGGCGCACGGGUGCGUAACGCGUGGGAACCUGCCCUUAGGUUCGGAAUAACUCCCCGAAAGGGGUGCUAAUACCGGAUAAUGUCUUCGGACCAAAGAUUUAUCGCCUUUGGAUGGGCCCGCGUUGGAUUAGCUAGUUGGUAGGGUAAAAGCCUACCAAGGCGACGAUCCAUAGCUGGUCUGAGAGGAUGAUCGGCCACACUGGGACUGAGACACGGCCCAGACUCCUACGGGAGGCAGCAGUGGGGAAUAUUGGACAAUGGGCGAAAGCCUGAACCAGCAAUGCCGCGUGAGUGAUGAAGGCCUUAGGGUUGUAAAGCUCUUUUACCCGGGAUGAUAAUGACAGUACCGGGAGAAUAAGCUCCGGCUAACUCCGUG